CCCAGACUCCUACGGGAGGCAGCAGUGGGGGAUAUUGCACAAUGGGGGAAACCCUGAUGCAGCGACGCCGCGUGAGUGAAGAAGUAAUUCGUUACGUAAAGCUCUAUCAGCAGGGAAGAAAAUGACGGUACCUGACUAAGAAGCCCCGGCUAACUACGUGCCAGCAGCCGCGGUAAUACGUAGGGGGCAAGCGUUAUCCGGAAUUACUGGGUGUAAAGGGAGCGCAGACGGUAGCGCAAGUCUGGAGUGAAAUGCCGGGGCCCAACCCCGGAACUGCUUUGGAAACUGUGCAGCUGGAGUGCAGGAGAGGUAAGCGGAAUUCCUAGUGUAGCGGUGAAAUGCGUAGAUAUUAGGAGGAACACCAGUGGCGAAGGCGGCUUACUGGACUGUAACUGACGUUGAGGCUCGAAAGCGUGGGGAGCAAACAGGAUUAGAUACCCCAGUAGU
rnacentral:rRNA from 1 species